UACGAAGGGGGCGAGCGUUGUUCGGAUUUACUGGGCGUAAAGGGCGCGUAGGCGGCCAUCUUUGUCAGGCGUGAAAGCCCCGGGCUCAACCUGGGAACUGCGUCUGGGACGGGGUGGCUAGAGAUCGGGAGAGGAGCGUGGAAUUCCCAGUGUAGAGGUGAAAUUCGUAGAUAUUGGGAAGAACACCGGUGGCGAAGGCGGCGCUCUGGACCGAUACUGACGCUGAGGCGCGAAAGCUAGGGGAGCAAACAGG
rnacentral:rRNA from 1 species